AAACCUAAUGUUCUUCAGACAGCACAUCGGACAUCCCCUUCUUGGUGAUCGAUUCCGUUUCCCUCGCCAAAACGUCCACAGUUGAGAGUCCGUCUUGAUCCCAUUAAUACUCUCAUCAACUACGUCAUCUUCAAUGCUCUUUUUCGGCGUGAAAGAUGUGAAAGACGGUGCUAUUACAGUAUAAAUUGGUGCGAAAUCUUAUCCUUUCUACUCAUCCUCUCUUCGAUUCUCUACCUUCGUCUACAUAGAACAAUUGAGCGUUGUUAAUGUUGUUCGUGAGGAAGCUUUGCGCAUCUACAUAUUUGCAGAAACAACAACCAGUUAAGGUACCAUAAAAGCAAAUGGAACCGGAAUGAAACUAAAAAAAUGCUUACAUCUAUGUUUAAUAGUCUUCAUUGCAGCUUUAGUUGGUCCUUCAAAAGCUCACUCAGUGAUAUAUGCACCUUCUGGGAUGCCUUUACUUCCAACAAAUUUCUCGCUUUCUGCUUGAUGAAGAGAUUGGGGGCCUGGAAUGUAAAGAAUGGGGGUGAGUUGAUGGGUGUGGAUGUGCUUCUGCUUGGUGGCAAGUUUUAGGUGUCGAAUCUCUACUGAUGGAGGCUUAGAUCGAGAUGUUGAAUCUCACUCUAAAGAUACAACCGGCGUUUCGGUGAGAUAUCAGUUAUCACACAAUUAUUGAAUGAUCACAUACAUCUAUGGAUUUCCCAGCAAAGAGAGAGGACCUCUGCUUCCAGAAUAGAGCUUCCUUGAGAGUACGAGCGAUGACUCUGAAAUAUUGGUUUCCCAUGCGCAAUCCAAGCCGCCCCACAGUUAGUGAAAUCAUUCAGCCAGGAAGCCCCAAGGUGUCAACCUUCUAAAAUGGUGAAAUCUUCAGUUUCUUCUGUUUGAGAUGAAGACUGGUCGGUGUAAGGAGACUAUGUACCCGUCUCUUCCGUUUCUAGAAAGGUAGGAAUGUGAAAAAGGUGUUGCAGACACAGAUUGUCAGUCUUCACUAGCGUUAAACUAUGCAUUGUCAGUAAGUAUAUAUGGUUUUAUUUCUUACUCACAUCAGACGUUUGAGAAUAGCAUAGAGAAGAGUGUUUCUAAAGUCAUAUGUUUCUUCUUCUCUCACUUAAUGUUGCAGCCUUUCUGAAUACGGUGUUUGCAUUUGCAUGUUCCGUGGCGUUGUAUACACAUCUAAUGAAUUUUAUUGGCAGUUGGCACCAAUUGCCUUUAUG